rnacentral:lncRNA from 1 species
GUCAUUUGUUCUCACAACCGGCAGAGGCAGAAGAGGGUUGGAAUGAAGACUCCGAAGGCCACCAGGAUGGGAAACAUGAGGCUGCUGUUGUCCGAGGCAUAGGGGUUGGGUGUGCGGGGGCCUGACUGCACCCGGUUCUUAUUGGUCUGUUUUUUGAGAUUAGACCCUUCAUCAUAUUCUUCUUCUUCUUCUUCCUCUUCUUUCUUCUCCAAUCCCGGAUGAGGCUGAAGCUUUGGUACAUCAUCCACUGUCCCAGCCAUGAUGUAGAGUGCACAGACCUUGGGAUUGUCAUAGUACCCCUUGACAAACUCAAUGUAGAGUUUCCCUGUGAAGGUGGACACCUCCCCCUGGACACUCAGCUUCCCCUUUC